rnacentral:rRNA from 1 species
CAGUCGCCGCGGUAACACAGAGGGUGCGAGCGUUAAUCGGAUUUACUGGGCGUAAAGCGUGCGUAGGCGGCUAAUUGAGUCGGAUGUGAAAUCCCCGAGCUUAACUUGGGAAUUGCAUUCGAUACUGGUUAGCUAGAGUGUGGGAGAGGAUGGUAGAAUUCCAGGUGUAGCGGUGAAAUGCGUAGAGAUCUGGAGGAAUACCGAUGGCGAAGGCAGCCAUCUGGCCUAACACUGACGCUGAGGUACGAAAGCAUGGGGAGCAAACAGGAUUAGAUACCCCAGUAGUCCCUGUCUCUUAUAC